AACGAACGCUGGCGGCGUGCCUAAUACAUGCAAGUCGAACGGGGAAAGCUUUCGGGUGAGUACUAGUGGCGCACGGGUGAGGAAUACAUGGGUAAUCUGCCCUCGAGUUGGGGAUAACCAGUCGAAAGAUUGGCUAAUACCGGAUAAGACCACAAGAUCUGCGGAUCUAGGGGUUAAAGGUUUUUCGCUUGAGGAUGAGCCCAUGUGGGAUUAGCUAGUUGGUGAGGUAAUGGGUCACCAAGGCGACGAUCCCUAACUGGUCUUAGAGGAUGAUCAGUCACACUGGAACUGCGACACGUCCCAGACUCCUACGGGAGGCAGCAGUGGGGAAUUUUGGACAAUGGGGGCAACCCUGAUCCAGCCAUUCCGCGUGAGUGAAGAAGGCCUUCGGGUUGUAAAGCUCUUUUGUCCGGGAAGAAACGGUUUCACCUAAUACGUGAGACUACCGACGGUACCGGAAGAAUAAGGACCGGCUAACUA
rnacentral:rRNA from 1 species